GACGGACGCUGGCGGCGUGCUUAACACAUGCAAGUCGAGCGGUAAGGCCCUUUCGGGGGUACACGAGCGGCGAACGGGUGAGUAACACGUGGGUGACCUGCCCUCAGCUCUGGGAUAAGCCUGGGAAACCGGGUCUAAUACCGGAUAUGACUCCAUGACGCAUGUUGUGGGGUGGAAAGCCUUGUGCGGCUGAGGAUGGGCCCGCGGCCUAUCAGCUUGUUGGUGGGGUGAUGGCCUACCAAGGCGACGACGGGUAGCCGGCCUGAGAGGGCGACCGGCCACACUGGGACUGAGACACGGCCCAGACUCCUACGGGAGGCAGCAGUGGGGAAUCUUGCGCAAUGGGCGAAAGCCUGACGCAGCGACGCCGCGUGAGGGACGACGGCCU
rnacentral:rRNA from 1 species